AAGAACAAACGCAGAUACUGCUGCGUUAAAGAUUGCCACAAUAAAGAAGGGGAUGUCGGCAUCAUGAUGUAUCGCUUCCCAUCGAGACCGUGGGAAGCAACUCGGCGGCAGAAGUGGAUCGCAGCUGUUCGGCGCGUCAAUGCCGAUGACCUGUCAUCGUGCUGUGGCACUUUGUCGUCGUGCUGGGGCUUCCUCGAUGGCUUUCCCCACGUCUGCGGGCAGCUCGUACACGAAGAGUCCUCGUGUAGGUUUACGUAGAGUGCCACCGCUGCGCAGUGUUUACAGUUGCCCAGGGCGCCGUAACGGCACGUACAAUUGCCGCUGAGAAUUUCUCGGGGCGUGAUCGACAACUUUGCA
rnacentral:lncRNA from 1 species